GACGAACGCUGGCGGCGUGCUUAACACAUGCAAGUCGAGCGGAAAGGCCCUUUCGGGGGUACUCGAGCGGCGAACGGGUGAGUAACACGUGAGUAAUCUGCCCUUGGCUUUGGGAUAACCACCGGAGACGGCGGCUAAUACCGGAUAUGACGGGCUCCGGCAUCGGGGUUCGUGGAAAGUUUUUCGGCCAGGGAUGUGCUCGCGGCCUAUCAGCUUGUUGGUGGGGUAAUGGCCUACCAAGGCUUCGACGGGUAGCCGGCCUGAGAGGGUGACCGGCCACACUGGGACUGAGACACGGCCCAGACUCCUACGGGAGGCAGCAGUGGGAAUAUUGGACAAUGGGCGGAAGCCUGAUCCAGCAACGCCGCGUGAGGGAUGACGGCCU
rnacentral:rRNA from 1 species